rnacentral:misc_RNA from 1 species
UCUCCGUAGGUGAACCUGCGGAGGGAUCAUUACCGAGUGAGGGCCCCCGGCCCGACCUCCAACCCUUUGUGUUUCUGACUGUGUUGCCUCGGGGGCGACCCGGCGCGUUUAUCGCGUUGGGGCCCCCGGAGCCCAUCAAACCCUGCGUAACUAAGUCGUCGGAGUUUAAACAAAUUAAACAAAACUUUCAACAACGGAUCUCUUGGUUCGGGCAUCGAUGAAGAACGCAGC